AACGAACGCUGGCGGCAGGCUUAACACAUGCAAGUCGAGCGCCCCGCAAGGGGAGCGGCAGACGGGUGAGUAACGCGUGGGAAUCUACCGUGCCCUACGGAAUAAUGCAUGGGAACGUGUGCUAAUACCGUAUACGCCCUCCGGGGGAAAGAUUUAUCGGGGUUUGUUGAGCCAGCGUUGGGUUAGCUAGUUGGUGGGGUAAAGGCCUACCAAGGCGACGAUCCAUAGCUGGUCUGAGAGGAUGAUCAGCCACAUUGGGACGGGGACACGGACCAAACUCCUACGGGAGGCAGCAGUGGGGAAUAUUGGACAAUGGGCGCAAGCCUGAUCCAGCCAUGCCGCGUGAGUGAUGAAGGUCUUAGGAUUGUAAAGCUCUUUCACCGGAGAAGAUAAUGACGGUAUCCGGAGAAGAAGCCCCGGCUAACUUCGUGCCAGCAGCCGCCGUAA
rnacentral:rRNA from 1 species